AAUGGUUCAUCAACUCUUCAAAAAAGAAUAUAUACGAUUGCAUUGCAUAUACUAACGGAUGCGAUCAUACCAGUACUAAUGCACCGGAUCCCAUCAGAACUCCGCAGUUAAGCGUGCUUGGGCGAGAGUAGUACUAGGAUGAGUGACCUCCCGUGAAGUCCUCGUGUUGCAUCCCUC
rnacentral:rRNA from 1 species